rnacentral:rRNA from 1 species
GACGAACCGUGCGAACGUUGUUCGGAAUCACUGGGCUUAAAGGGCGCGUAGGCGGGUGCUCAAGUCCGUGGUGAAAUCCUCCGGCUCAACCGGAGAACUGCCUCGGAUACUGGGCGCCUCGAGGGUGGUAGGGGUAUGCGGAACUAUCGGUGGAGCGGUGAAAUGCGUUGAUAUCGAUAGGAACUCCGGUGGCGAAGGCGGCAUACUGGACCACCUCUGACGCUGAGGCGCGAAAGCCAGGGGAGCAAACGGG